UUUCCAGGCUGAUUCCUCCACCUCAUUGUUGUGAAUUGACUUGUGUCCUCCCAAAAGCUAUGUUGAAGUUCUAACCCCGGUACCUGUGAAUGUGGCCAUGUUUGGAAAUAGGCUCUUUGCAGUUGUUAGUUAUCAAGAGAGCCGAAGAAGAGAGGGUCAUGAAGAAAAGGAAAAGUCUGAAGAUUUAAAAAAGAUGAGCAAAUUCCAAGAACUUGGAUGGAAGCCUGGCCUACAUCCUUAUUAGAUAACUAUCCAUCGAUCUGGGACUGUUCUGUGCGUGUGUCCUACCCACCUGGCAUGUUGGGAGAGCUAAAUCAAUGCCACAAUGACAUGCUGUCUUUCUCCACUUGAGAUUGAAGCAGUCAGCCUCUCUCACUGACAAUACAUAUGAUGAGGGAGUGGAGGCCUAUGGAGAUUAUGUCCUAGAAGGCGAAGAACACGGGUCUGCAGCCUCCUACCCAGCCAGGGACCAGUCAGAAAUCCAAGAAAAGACAAACUGCAGCUAGAGCUCCCAGCAAUGUCAUGAGGGUGGAGCCAAGCAAUCCCUUGGUCCAGAGAUGUUGGAAAAUCCUGCAUCCUUCAGAUGUAUGAAGAAGAGUGGGAGUGGACGGGGCAGAAACCACUAGCUGCCAAAUCUGAGGAAAAUAUCUCCAAAUUGGGGAGAUGGCCACUGAUUCCCACAGGUCUUCUCAUCAUGGUCUUGCAGUGGGAGAUGGGAAAAAUCAGGAAAGAAGAUUGGAAUUUGGAGAAAAUUGUGAAAAUAUGUUGGAGAGAGGGAUAGUUCUUGUGAACAAUAUGAGUCUUGGUCCAAAAUGUUUCUUUACAGCUGGGUACAGUGGCUCAUGCAUGUAAUCCUA